AAGAGCGGCACGCAGCCGGUCGCCUUUCCCUCGCUGAAGGCAGAGCGGCACGAAGCCGGUAACCACCGCCCCGCUGGCCGGGAAGGGCGCGAUGGAGCCGCCCGCUCUCUCCCCCCGGCCCCGCUUACCCGUGCCCGGCUCGCCGCUGUCCCCGCGCCGCCUCUCGCCCAUGGCCGGGGCUCGCUCGGGCCCCUCAGGCCGCCCUCAUGGCCGCCCCGCCCGGCCCCGGCGCGGCGCCGCUACCGGGCCGGCGGCAUCGGGCGGUGCGGGCGGUGCGGGGCGGCCGCCGCCAUCCGCCAGCCCCAGGAAGUGGAAGGACGGAGCGAGCGAGGGAGGAGGGAGAGAAGGAGGGAAGGAGGGAGGGAAGGAGGGGAUGAGGGGCGGGAGCGGCGGGGAAAAAAACAGAAAGUGAAAACUGAACCGGAAAGACAGCGAGGGGCCGCCCGCGGGUUUUCCUCUUCCCGCGGUCACCGGCCCUCGGCUGGCCGCAGCCGGCUUUUCCUCUUCCGUGCCUCAGCCCCUCCAUGCCUGACUUCAGCUCUUCCCGCUGCCUCUUCCCUCAUCCCCGCACAUCAUCGGGAGAGGCCCUUUUCUCUUCCUCAGCCUUUCCCCAGCAGUGUUUUCCCGCUUUGGGGUCUUCCCUCAGUUUCCCCCAGUUCACUGAUUGUUCAGCUCUUCCCACUGCCCCUUCCCUCAUCCCCGCACAUCAUGGGGAGAGAGAGGCCCUUUUCUCCUCCUCAGUCCUUCCCUCCUUCCUUCCUUCCCUCCCUCCCUAUCACUAUUUUCCCUCUUUUGGGUCUUCCCGCAGUUUCCCCAAUUCCCUUCCUGACCAACUCACAUAUUGUUCAGCUCUUCCCGCUGCCCUUUCCCUCAUUUUUCUGCGUUGAGCUCUCAUCUCAGCGCCUUCUCCAGAACUAUGUUUUGGAUCUGCCCUCAGUCCCCAAACUCCUUCCCUUAUCCCCUUACAUCAUGGCCAGAGCUCCUUUUCUCACCUCGGUCUUUCCCCCCAGAUAUUUUCCCUUAGUUCGUUGUUUUGGGCCUUUUCUCAGUCCCAAAAUUCCUUCCCUUAUCCCUCACACUUUGCAUCAUGGCCAGAGCCCCUUCCCUCCCCUCAGUCCUUCUCCCUCAGUAUUUUGUCUCAAUCCCCUUCCUGAUCCCCUCAGCCUCUCCAUACCUGACCUCAGCUCUUCCCACAACUACUCACAUUCCAGGUGGUGCAGAAAAACUGAAUUAUUUGUCUUCUUUUUUCUGCUUAAUCAUCCAUUUGUGUGUGUGUGGCCACCCCGUGAGGGACUUCGGGGGUAUCCCAAUCCAUGGGGGACAAGGGGACAUCAGGAACAGGGAUGGGGCUGA
rnacentral:lncRNA from 1 species